rnacentral:rRNA from 1 species
AUUGAACGCUGGCGGCAUGCUUUACACAUGCAAGUCGAACGGUAACAGGUUAAGCUGACGAGUGGCGAACGGGUGAGUAAUAUAUCGGAACGUGCCCAGUCGUGGGGGAUAACGUAGCGAAAGCCACGCUAAUACCGCAUACGAUCUACGGAUGAAAGCGGGGGAUCGCAAGACCUCGCGCGAUUGGAGCGGCCGAUAUCAGAUUAGGUUGUUGGUGAGGUAAAAGCUCACCAAGCCUGCGAUCUGUAGCUGGUCUGAGAGGACGACCAGCCACACUGGAACUGAGACACGGUCCAGACUCCUACGGGAGGCAGCAGUGGGGAAUUUUGGACAAUGGACGCAAGUCUGAUCCAGCAAUGCCGCGUGCAGGACGAAGGCCUUCGGGUUGUAAACUGCUUUUGUACGGAACGAAACGGUGAGCUCUAAUACAGUUUGCUAAUGACGGUACCGUAAGAAUAAGCACCGGCUAACUACGUGCCAGCCGCCGCCGUAA